UAGGGAAUCUUUCCACAAUGGACGAAAGUCUGAUGGAGCAACGCCGCGUGAGUGAAGAAGGGUUUCGGCUCGUAAAACUCUGUUGUUAAAGAAGAACAUAUCUGAGAGUAACUGUUCAGGUAUUGACGGUAUUUAACCAGAAAGCCACGGCUAACUACGUGCCAG
rnacentral:rRNA from 1 species